rnacentral:rRNA from 1 species
UACGUAGGGUGCAAGCGUUGUCCGGAAUUAUUGGGCGUAAAGGGCGCGUAGGCGGCUUCGCAAGUGGAAGGUGAAAUCCCUCGGCUUAACCGAGGAACUGCCCUCCAACUACGUUGCUUGAGGCCGGGAGAGGUGAGUGGAAUUCCCAGUGUAGCGGUGAAAUGCGUAGAUAUUGGGAGGAACACCAGUGGCGAAGGCGGCUCACUGGACCGGUUCUGACGCUGAUGCGCGAAAGCGUGGGGAGCGAACAGG